rnacentral:SRP_RNA from 1 species
AGCCAGGUACUGUGCUACCGGUUAUCGCCCAACCCCGUCAGGACCGGAAGGUAGCAGCGGUAAGCGACUGAUCGGUGAGCCGCAGCUCACUUGGCUGGA